CCUACGGGAGGCAGCAGUGGGGAAUAUUGCGCAAUGGGCGAAAGCCUGACGCAGCGACGCCGCGUGAGGGAUGAAGGUCUUCGGAUCGUAAACCUCUGUCAGCAGGGAAGAACGGUCACUGUGCUAAUCAGCAGUGAAUUGACGGUACCUGCAAAGGAAGCACCGGCUAACUCCGUGCCAGCAGCCGCGGUAAUACGGAGGGUGCGAGCGUUAAGCGGAAUUACUGGGCGUAAAGCGCUCGUAGGCGGUAUGUCAAGUCAAGGGUGAAAUCCCCGCGCUCAACGUGGGAACUGCCUUUGAAACUGGGAAACUGGAGUGUGUGAGAGGAUAGUGGAAUUCCAGGUGUAGGAGUGAAAUCCGUAGAUAUCGGGAGGAACAUCAGUGGCGAAGGCGACUAUCUGGAACAUAACUGACGCUGAGGAGCGAAAGCGUGGGUAGCAAACAGGAUUAGAUACCCCAGUAGUC
rnacentral:rRNA from 1 species